AACGACCGCUGGCGGCAGGCUUAACACAUGCAAGUCGAACGCCCCGCAAGGGGAGUGGCAGACGGGUGAGUACCGCGUGGGAACAUACCCUUUUCUACGGAAUAGCUCUGGGAAACUGGAAUUAAUACCGUAUACGCCCUACGGGGGAAAGUUUUAUCGGGGAAGGUUUGGCCCGCGUGGGUUUCGCUGUUUGUGGGGUAAAAGCCCAACAAAGCCGAGAUCCCAUGGUGGGUUGGGAGGAAGAACAACCCAAUUGGGGAUGGGACACGGGCCAAAACCCUACGGGAGGGAGGAGGGGGGAAUAUUGGAAAAUGGGGGCAAGCCUGAUCCAGCCAUGCCGCGUGAGUGAUGAAGGCCUUAGGGUUGUAAAGCUCUUUCACCGAUGAAGAUAAUGACGGUAGUCGGAGAAGAAGCCCCGGCUAACUUCGUG
rnacentral:rRNA from 1 species